rnacentral:rRNA from 1 species
GACGAACCGUGCGAACGUUAUUCGGAAUCACUGGGCUUAAAGCGCGUGUAGGCGGGCGGGAACGUCGGUCGUUGAAAUCCCCCGGCUCAACCGGGGAACGGGCACCGAUACGGGCGGCCUCGAGGGGGGUAGGGGGGUCUGGAACUUCCGGUGGAGCGGUGAAAUGCGUUGAGAUCGGAAGGAACGCCCGUGGCGAAAGCGAGGCCCUGGACCCUUUCUGACGCUGAGACGCGAAAGCCAGGGGAGCGAACGGG